AAGGUCCUACGGGACGCAGCAGUAGGGAAUCUUCCACAAUGGGCGAAAGCCUGAUGGAGCAACGCCGCGUGAACGAGGAAGGUCUUCGGAUCGUAAAGUUCUGUUGAAGGGGAAAAAGAGCGGAGAGAGGAAAUGCUUUCUGAUUGAUAUUACCCUUCGAGGAAGUCACGGCUAACUACGUGCCAGCAGCCGCGGUAAUACGUAGGUGGCGAGCGUUAUCCGGAAUGAUUGGGCGUAAAGGGUGCGUAGGCGGCCUGCUAAGUCUGGAGUGAAAGGUACCGGCUCAACCGGUACAGGCUCUGGAA
rnacentral:rRNA from 1 species